rnacentral:lncRNA from 1 species
CAGGUUCAAGCAAUUCUCCUGCCUCAGCCUCCCGGGACUACAGAUUCAUGCUCUCCAUCUCCAGAUCAUGAACAGCAGCCAUUGUCCUGGGUCCUCCCUCCUCCCCAGAAGGACAUGAAUCCCAGGGAACAGCAGGUGGCCCUAGGUCCUCAGGCUGCCGCUCUUCCCUGGGCUGUCUGGCGCAACGACUGCUUUCCAAGGCCUUUCCUGUAUGUGAAGAGAAGACAGCUGAAGAUGAUCAAAAUGAUCUAAACCUCCUAAAUGGCCCAAAAUAAAGUUUUCUAUGUAAUUGUUUUAAAAAGAGCCAGAUGACUGAGAUUAAAAUGCAGCUCUACCAUGUA